rnacentral:rRNA from 1 species
UAAUUUUAGGUCUGGCCUGCCCACUGAAAUAUUUAAAUGGCCGUGGUAUUUUGACCGUGCUAAGGUAGCAUAAUCAUUAGUUUUUUAAUUGAAAGCUGGAAUGAAGGGUUAGAUAAAAAAAUAACUGUCUCUAUUUAAUUUUAUUAGAAUUUUAUUUUUAAGUUAAAAAGCUUAAGUUAAAUUAAAAGACGAGAAGACCCUAUAGAGUUUUAUUAUAAUUUAUAUUUUUUAUUUUAGAAUUUAUGUAUUAAAUUUGAUUUAUAAUUUGAUUGGGGCGAUUAAAAAAUUUAUUUAACUUUUUUUGUAAUAUACCAUUAAUUUAUGAGUUAUUGAUCCAAUUUUUUUGAUUAUAAGAUAAAAUUACCUUAGGGAUAACAGCGUAAUUUUUUUAGAAAGUUCAUAUUGAAAAAAAAGAUUGCGACCUCGAUGUUGGAUUAAAAUUAAUUUUUGGUGUAGAAGCUAAAAUAUUAGGUCU